UUAGUGAAGUAUCUGACAGUGAAAAUGUCUCAGUAAGCAGAGGAGGCAUCAUGAAGAGGCUAGCAGGCGCUGUGCUGGGGCUUUUAUUUGCCCAGAUUUGCUCUGUGCGAGGGGUGGAUGUGGAGCAGAGUCCCGCAGCCCUGAGUCUCCAGGAGGGAGCCAGCCACGUGCUGAGGUGUAAUUUUUCUGCCUCUGUGAGCAAUGUACACUGGUAUCUUCAGAACCCUGGGGGCCGCAUCGUCCACCUGUUUUACAUUCCUUCAGGAACAAAGCAGAAAGGAAGAUUAAACGCCACAACAAUCCCUGCAGAACGCCGCAGCUCACUGCACAUUUCCUCUUCGCGGAUCACAGACUCGGGCACUUACUUCUGCGCUGCGCAGCACGGUGCUCCCCAGGCACCUGCGGCCUCUACACGAACCCUCCGGGGCGCAGCCCCUCCUCCAGCCUCAGUCACACCGUGGGCCCCACAGGGCAUUCGCAGAGCUGAUUGUCUCUUACCUACACUGGUACAGUUUAAUCACAGACACUUUCCGCCUACAGAUUGUGAACUUCGGUCUUUGUCUUCCUUUCUCAACCUGUAUCUCCUUCUGCACUAGAGACUUCUAACUUGGAACUAGCAGAAUAGCUGAUAAGGGGACAAAAAUAAAAUAAAUAUUCAACCACAGUAUGCUGAUCUCAAAAGUGGUAAAAAGUGAGAACAAUUCAGAGAAAAAAAUAACUCCAAUAAAGUUGUUAUCCUGAUUAGUUUGAUGUCUCAAGAAUGUUCAGAUCUGCCUCACCAGAAUGUGUCCCCAAAGACACUUGCAUCAUCCCAUCCUACGAGUGCAGCAA